AUUGAACGCUGGCGGCAGGCCUAACACAUGCAAGUCGAGCGGAUGAAGGGAGCUUGCUCCUGGAUUCAGCGGCGGACGGGUGAGUAAUGCCUAGGAAUCUGCCUGGUAGUGGGGGAUAACGUCCGGAAACGGGCGCUAAUACCGCAUACGUCCUGAGGGAGAAAGUGGGGGAUCUUCGGACCUCACGCUAUCAGAUGAGCCUAGGUCGGAUUAGCUAGUUGGUGGGGUAAAGGCCUACCAAGGCGACGAUCCGUAACUGGUCUGAGAGGAUGAUCAGUCACACUGGAACUGAGAAACGGUCCAGCCUCCUACGGGAGGAAGCAGUGGGGAAUAUUGGACAAUGGGCGAAAGCCUGAUCCAGCCAUGCCGCGUGUGUGAAGAAGGUCUUCGGAUUGUAAAGCACUUUAAGUUGGGAGGAAGGGCAGUAAGUUAAUACCUUGCUGUUUUGACGUUACCAACAGAAUAAGCACCGGCUAACUUCGUG
rnacentral:rRNA from 1 species